AGGCUUUCCAAAGGAAGUCCUUGCCAAACCUGAUGCUUAAGAUAAAGAAACCACUUUGUGCAGUGGGGUACUUCCUUUCCUAUCAGCCUUGCUGUGUAAAGACAGACAGCAACCUUCAUCAGAGGAUAAUUUCCAAAUGAGGAAAGUAUCCACGUGGGACUGUCAGAAGCACUGAAUUGAUUUGUGCCUGCGCCACAGGUCAGAUUUAUACCCAUUUUUCUUGAAGACAAACUAGACUGAUUUAUCCUCAGGGGCCUUACCCUCCAGUCUUUACAAGCCUCAAAACCCAGAAAGAAAUGAUGUAUGUGCAGUUAGU
rnacentral:lncRNA from 12 species